CCUACGGGAGGCUGCAGUGGGGAAUAUUGGACAAUGGGGGCAACCCUGAUCCAGCCAUGCCGCGUGUGUGAAGAAGGCCCUCGGGUUGUAAAGCACUUUCAGUGAGGAAGAACGCCUGGUGGUUAAUACCCAUCAGGAAAGACAUCACUCACAGAAGAAGCACCGGCUAACUCCGUGCCAGCAGCCGCGGUAAUACGGAGGGUGCGAGCGUUAAUCGGAAUUACUGGGCGUAAAGCGCGCGUAGGUGGCUUGAUAAGCCGGUUGUGAAAGCCCCGGGCUCAACCUGGGAACGGCAUCCGGAACUGUCAAGCUAGAGUGCAGGAGAGGAAGGUAGAAUUCCCGGUGUAGCGGUGAAAUGCGUAGAGAUCGGGAGGAAUACCAGUGGCGAAGGCGGCCUUCUGGACUGACACUGACACUGAGGUGCGAAAGCGUGGAUAGCAAACAGGAUUAGAUACCCCUGUAGUC
rnacentral:rRNA from 1 species